GAAAUGCGAUAAGUAAUGUGAAUUGCAGAAUUCAGUGAAUCAUCGAAUCUUUGAACGCACAUUGCGCUCGCCAGUAUUCUGGCGAGCAUGCCUGUUCGAGCGUCAUUUCAACCAUCAAGCUCUGCUUGCGUUGGGGAUCCGCGGCUGCCCGCGGUCCCUCAAAAACAGUGGCGGGCUCGCUAGUCACACCGAGCGUAGUAACUCUACAUCGCUAUGGUCGUGCGGCGGGUUCUUGCCGUAAAACCCCCAAUUUCUAGGUUGACCUCGGAUCAGGUAGGAAUACCCGCUGAACUUAAGC
rnacentral:misc_RNA from 1 species